ACUGUUGUGUUUUAGCGUUCGGUGGUCGCAUUUAUUAACUUAGGCCUACUAUAACAUUUUUUAUUUGGUUUGAGUUAAAAUAAUUUAAUGACAGAGUAGGCCUAAUCCGUGUCGUGUUAUUUGUGCAGGAGGCCUAAUGCUUAAUUGCGUCAAAUGUUUACAAUAUAUAUGACUUAAAAAUUUAAAUCGUAAAGCUAAAUAGCCUAGUAGCAUAGGCCUAAGCGUAAGUUAUUAUUACAAUGACAAGUGCGAAAUCAAAUGGUGCUACGGUUCUCUGGCCAUCCAUAUGUUUAUCAUGGGUGAAUUUAUUUGAAAUAGAAACACUAUCCAACAUAUCAUCAAUCAGGAAUACAAGUUUUGUUGUGGAAACAAUCCUAACCAUAUUUAAAUCCUGUAGAACGGAAGAAGUCUCCUUUAAAUCUGUUGACUACUUGGCUGUGAAAUAUAUAAAGGAAUUCUUCCCAGAAAUAAUCAAGGAGAAGAAAUUCUAUUUAAAAAAUGAAGAUGAUGCCCUGAUUUUAAUCGCCCUUCUUAUGUACUCAACAUGUAUCAAGUUAAAGAUUGACGAAUUUGUCACAAAAACCUGUGCAAUCAAGUUGAAAAAUAAUCAUGAAGAGAUACUUAAGCGAUUUUUUGAGUUGAUGCUCAAAAUUGAAAACGGAAAUUUUACAAGAAAAACCAUAAUGAAUACCAUCCAGCAGUGCUUUGAGCCUGAGGUUGUACCUGUUGGAAGAGCAUCUCUCUCACCUUCACAAAAGAAUUGUCUUAAAGAAUUUCUUAGGUCACCAUCUCUCGAAGAAAAAUACAAAAAGAACAAAGAGGUAAAUGAUGUCAGACAUCUUAAUCAAUUACUUCAAGAGGAAAACGCUGAAUUGUUGUCAGAACGAGACUUUCUGUCAACAAAGAAUCAACAACUUGAUUCAUCUGUACAAAAGCUUCAAAUUCAGCUGAGCGAAAAAACUCAAGAAAUUAUUUCCUUAAAGAAAGAGUUGAAGCUGCAUGAAGACAAAGGCGCCCCACAAAAUGCACUCAAUAAAAUUGAAAACCAGUUGAAAGAAGAACUUAAUCAACUUCAAAAAGAAUUGAAAGAAAUGGAAUCAUUUGCAAUCAUCAUGCAUGAUCAUUUUCGGAAAGAAAAAGAAAAAUACAUUUGGCUGGAAGAAGAGGUUUCCCAUUUUGAAGAAACUAAGAAAAAACUCCAAGAUGAACUCCAAUCCAAUGCAGAAAAAAUAAGACAACUCGAAGAAGUACAAAAGAACCUCCAAGAACAACUUCAUUCCAAGUGUUUGAUGAUUGAAAAUACAACAGCUGCAUUUAAUGAACUAAGGAAUCAAUUGGACAGUUGUCAAGCAGAACUGAAAGUUCUAACUGGUGAAGGAAAGCAAUUAAGGACCAAGAACGAAACCUUGAAACAAGAUCUAUCGACAAGCUUGGUUAAAUACAUGGAGCUAGAAGUCCAGUUUACUGACUCUUUGAAAAAUCUUGCUCAUCUUAGGUCUGUUAUUGCUGAUAAAGAAAAUGAGAUUGAACAUAUGAAAAUUACGAUUGGAAGUUUAACAGAAGAGAACAAUGAUUGCCAGUCAACAAAUGUGCAACAGGCGGAGCAGAUCAAGAAACAUAAAGCAACUGAGAAGAAACUCCAAGACGAUCUGCAGUCUAAGAGUGUAACUAUUGAAAAUACAACCAGUGCUCUAAAUGAACUAAAGGAGCAACUGAAAGUUGGCAAAGAAGAGUUGAAGAGUCAGAGAAGCCAAGUGAAGAAGUUGCAAACUAAGUGUGAGAAUACAGAGCAUGACCUGUCUGUACAGGUGGCCAAGCGUAAAGAGUUGGAAAUUGAAUUGUCAAACUCUUUAAAUCAUAUAACUAAACUGAACACCACAAUUGGUGAGAAAGACAGACAGAUUGAUCAAGUGAACGAGUCAAUAGAAACUUUGUCAGAAAAGAACAAGUCCUAUGAAUUGAAAGUCAAAGAACUGGUUGAUGUAAUUAAGGAACUCGAACUCAGCGGAAACAAGCUCCAAGACAUUAUAAAUUCAAAAACUUUAGAAGAAGAACACCUCCAAGAUAUGCUAAAUGCAAAGUCAAAAUUUAAAUCCAAACAUAUCAGAGCGAAUUACAGGGAAAAACUUCAGUAUUGAACAGAUUUAAGGAAGAAUUGGAGUCAAAGUGUGUUCCAAUAGACUUUCUGCAAAGUAAUUUACAGUCAAGGUCUUCAGAUGGGGAAAAACUUCAAAGCGAGUUACAUGCAAAGUCUUUGGAAAUUGAAAAACUUCAACUUGAUUUAUUGUCCAACUCCUCGAGAUAAACUACAAGGCGAAUUGAAAACUACGAUUUCACAAAGUCAAGAAUAUGAAAAUGAAUUACAGUCAAAAAUUUUGGAAAUAGAAAAUCUACAGCCUCAGUUGAAAUCAAACUGUUACACAAUGGAGAGUCUUGAAAAUACUUUGCAGUCAAAGAGUGCAGAGGUUGAUAAAUUACAAAGUGAUUUACAGACAAAAUCUUCUGAUUUGGAUAAAGUUCAAUCAGAAUGUGUGUCAAAAUCUUUAGAGGUUGAAAGUGUUAAAAGUACAAUGAACAAUCUUCGUAAUCAAAUCACAGCAAAUGAAGAGGAAAUUGAAUCGUUGUCAAACCAAGUUUUAGAGGUAAAAGUCAAAAGUUUUGAGAAGCGAGAUUUGGAAUAUAAUGGUGUAUUGGAGCAGCUGAUGGAGUGUCGUGGAGUCAUUGAAGAGCUUUAUAACACAAUUGAUGAAAAAGAUAAGCGCAUUCAUCAACUUGACUCAACAGUUUUGGCUCUGUCCAAGGAAAGAACGGAGCUACAAUCAACCAUCUUUUUACAAAACAUAUCUACUCCGGACAGACGAAGGUGGAGUUUUUUUGGCAAACUUGUCAAAAAGGAACCAUCUGAGUAAACCUCAGUGCUGAUAACAUUGCACUCUUAUGUUAUUUCACUUUUUAAGCAAGUCUUGUCUGCCUUUAAAAUUGUUAACAAAGCUAUUAUCCAAAUUAGCAUAGGUUUUAAAAUUGAAAAGAACGUGUAUUGUUUUAUCCUACUAUAAAAUUGUUGUGAUUAUGUAAACUUGCAAACCACAUAGUACCCUAUGUGAUUGUGUUCUGUGAUAUAAUAAAAUUUAUU